rnacentral:ncRNA from 2 species
AACUAUAAGACCGAACUCGGUUCUACUGGGGAGCAGCCAGUAGAGGUAACGGGGAAAGUUUGGUGCAAGGCCAACGCUGCCUGGGCAACUGUAACUCGAUUCACCUGCGAAUCGACAAGUCAGGAUGCCCGCCGAGACGUAUAUUUACAU